rnacentral:rRNA from 1 species
CCUAGGGAGGCGGCAGUGGGGAAUAUUGGACAAUGGGCGAAAGCCUGAUCCAGCCAUGCCGCGUGUGUGAAGAAGGCCUUCGGGUUGUAAAGCACUUUCAGUGGGGAAGAAAGCCUUGGGGCUAAUACCCUCGAGGAAGGACAUCACCCACAGAAGAAGCACCGGCUAACUCCGUGCCAGCAGCCGCGGUAAUACGGAGGGUGCGAGCGUUAAUCGGAAUUACUGGGCGUAAAGCGCGCGUAGGCGGUCUGAUAAGCCGGUUGUGAAAGCCCCGGGCUCAACCUGGGAACGGCAUCCGGAACUGUCAGGCUAGAGUGCAGGAGAGGAAGGUAGAAUUCCCGGUGUAGCGGUGAAAUGCGUAGAGAUCGGGAGGAAUACCAGUGGCGAAGGCGGCCUUCUGGACUGACACUGACGCUGAGGUGCGAAAGCGUGGGUAGCAAACAGGAUUAGAUACCCGGGUAGUC